rnacentral:rRNA from 1 species
UACGGAGGGUGCAAGCGUUAUCCGGAUUCACUGGGUUUAAAGGGUGCGUAGGUGGGUUGGUAAGUCAGUGGUGAAAUCUCCGAGCUUAACUUGGAAACUGCCAUUGAUACUAUCAAUCUUGAAUAUUGUGGAGGUCAGCGGAAUAUGUCAUGUAGCGGUGAAAUGCUUAGAUAUGACAUAGAACACCAAUUGCGAAGGCAGCUGGCUACACAAAUAUUGACACUGAGGCACGAAAGCGUGGGGAUCAAACAGG